CCUACGGGAGGCUGCAGUGGGGGAUAUUGCACAAUGGGGGGAACCCUGAUGCAGCGACGCCGCGUGGGUGAAGAAGCGCCUCGGCGCGUAAAGCCCUGUCAGCAGGGAAGAAAAUGACGGUACCUGAAGAAGAAGCCCCGGCUAACUACGUGCCAGCAGCCGCGGUAAUACGUAGGGGGCAAGCGUUAUCCGGAUUUACUGGGUGGAAAGGGGGCGGAGACGGCGAUGCAAGCCAGGAGUGAAGGCCCGGGGCCCAACCCCGGGACUGCUCUUGGAACUGCGUGGCUGGAGUGCAGGAGGGGCAGGCGGAAUUCCUGGUGUAGCGGUGAAAUGCGUAGAUAUCAGGAGGAACACCGGUGGCGAAGGCGGCCUGCUGGACUGCAACUGACGUUGAGGCCCGAAAGCGUGGGGAGCAAACAGGAUUAGAUACCCUUGUAGUC
rnacentral:rRNA from 1 species